AUAAAGAACUCGAUCUCCCGAUCUAAGGCUAGACUUAGAAGAUCUUCUGGAAAAAUAUCAAAAAAAUUCUUCACCACAGGUAUCUAUUGUAGAUUGACUUUUUAACUUUUAUUGUCCACUACAUAAGCUAAAUACCAUGCACAUCCCUUCUUAAAUAAUCAUUGAGCUUAAAUGAAAGAUAUGAGACAUGGAUGUUGAGGCUCCCUAAUCCUUUUGAAUUUGAAAGCCUUGUCAUUGGGAACAUUAAAGAUCACUAUUUUCCCAUGACAAUCUAUAUUGGCAUGGUACACUGCCAACCAAUCCAUUCCUACUAUGACGUCAAAAUCAUGUAUGUCUAGAAGUGUGAUCUACGGGUAACUCUUUGUUGGCAAUCUCCACAAUGCAUGCUAAGCAGACUGUACUAGUCGUCAAGUCCUUAUUGGCUGGGGUAGAGACUACUAAUACAUAAUCUAAAAGUGACUGUUUAAUGUUCAUAUUUUGAGCAAACUCAUGUGAUGCAAAAGAGUGUGUAGAUCCUGGGUCUAUGACCCUAGCUAAGGUACUAGAGAUAGUGAGCGUACCUUGGAUUACAUCUUCAGAGGCUUUAACAUCUCUCUCUGUAAUAGUAUAUACUCUUCCUUAAGUUCUUGGCCUAGUCUGCUCUUUGUUGAUAGGACACUCUUUGAUCUGAUGUUGGGUACUACUACAUUUGAAGCAUCCAUAUGUCAAUUUGUAGCAGGUCUGCUACCAUGGUUCUUUCCAUAAUGGGGCAGAUCUGCUAUGGCUCUUAUGUUGGAACUAUGAGACCUAUCUUUUACCUCUUAUGAAGUUGUUAUGGCUCUUGGGCCUUCUUCCUAUUAUUUAGUAUGAAUGGUCAAACCCACUAGAUCUGUUGUGGGAUUGGGCCUGUAGCCUUUUCUAGAAUAUGGGCUCGUUCUAGUGCUUCUUGGUAGUCAUUA
rnacentral:lncRNA from 1 species